GUGCUUACUUGGGGGUUAAGUUUCCUAUGCAUAAGUAAAGAGUUUACUUGGGGGUCAAGUUUUCUAUGGCUAAGUAAUGGGCUAACUUGGAGGCUAAGUUUCCUAACUUGGAGGCUAAGUUUCCUAUGUAUAUAUAAAUAUGAUAUGAGGACUUGGACCUUUUCUCUCAUUUUCCACCCCUUAACCCAAAAAGAGAAGCCUUCCCUUUCCCUCUCUAAACCUCUCUCUCUCCUAGCUCCUAGAGUGUUACUCCAAAAGUGGAGAUUUGGUGGAAGAAGCUUACUUGGAGGUGGAGCUUUCCUCUUCCUCACCAUUGGCUUGAAGAGAGCUUGGGUUUGGAUCGGAAGGAAUCGACG
rnacentral:lncRNA from 1 species